AAAUGAAUAGACGGGGGCCCGCACAAGCAGUGGAUUAUGUGGUUUAAUUCGAAGCAACGCGAAGAACCUUACCGGGGUUUGACAUCCGACUAACGAAGCAGAGAUGCAUUAGGUGCCCUUCGGGGAAAGUCGAGACAGGUGGUGCAUGGUUGUCGUCAGCUCGUGUCGUGAGAUGUUGGGUUAAGUCCCGCAACGAGCGCAACCCUUGUUGUUAGUUGCUACGGAAGAGCACUCUAACGAGACUGCCGUUGACAAAACGGAGGAAGGUGGGGACGACGUCAAAUCAUCAUGCCCCUUAUAUCCCGGGCUACACACGUAAUACAAUGGCGUUUAACAACGGGAAGCGAAGGAGCGAUCCGGAGCGAAUCCCCAAAAGGCGUCUCAGUUCGGAUUGCAGGCUGCAACUCGCCUGCAUGAAGUAGGAAUUGCUAGUAAUCGCGGAUCAGCAUGCCGCGGUGAAUACGUUCCCGGGCCUUGUACACACCGCCCGU
rnacentral:rRNA from 1 species